AUAACCUACCUAUAAGACUGGGAUAACUUCGGGAAACCGGAGCUAAUACCGGAUAACAUAUUGAACCGCAUGGUUCAAUAGUGAAAGGCGGCUUUGCUGUCACUUAUAGAUGGAUCCGCGCCGUAUUAGCUAGUUGGUAAGGUAACGGCUUACCAAGGCAACGAUACGUAGCCGACCUGAGAGGGUGAUCGGCCACACUGGAACUGAGACACGGUCCAGACUCCUACGGGAGGCAGCAGUAGGGAAUCUUCCGCAAUGGGCGAAAGCCUGACGGAGCAACGCCGCGUGAGUGAUGAAGGUCUUCGGAUCGUAAAACUCUGUUAUCAGGGAAGAACAAAUGUGUAAGUAACUGUGCACAUCUUGACGGUACCUGAUCAGAAAGCCACGGCUAACUACGUGCCAGCAGCCGCGGUAAUACGUAGGUGGCAAGCGUUAUCCGGAAUUAUUGGGCGUAAAGCGCGCGUAGGCGGUUUUUUAAGUCUGAUGUGAAAGCCCACGGCUCAACCGUGGAGGGUCAUUGGAAACUGGAAAACUUGAGUGCAGAAGAGGAAAGUGGAAUUCCAUGUGUAGCGGUGAAAUGCGCAGAGAUAUGGAGGAACACCAGUGGCGAAGGCGACUUUCUGGUCUGUAAUUGACGCUGAUGUGCGAAAGCGUGGGGAUCAAACAGGAUUAGAUACCCUGGUAGUCCACGCCGUAAACGAUGAGUGCUAAGUGUUAGGGGGUUUCCGCCCCUUAGUGCUGCAGCUAACGCAUUAAGCACUCCGCCUGGGGAGUACGACCGCAAGGUUGAAACUCAAAGGAAUUGACGGGGACCCGCACAAGCGGUGGAGCAUGUGGUUUAAUUCGAAGCAACGCGAAGAACCUUACCAAAUCUUGACAUCCUUUGACCGCUCUAGAGAUAGAGUCUUCCCCUUCGGGGGACAAAGUGACAGGUGGUGCAUGGUUGUCGUCAGCUCGUGUCGGAGAUGUUGGGUUAAGUCCCGCAACGAGCGCAACCCUUAAGCUUAGUUGCCAUCAUUAAGUUGGGCACUCUAAGUUGACUGCCGGUGACAAACCGGAGGAAGGUGGGGAUGACGUCAAAUCAUCAUGCCCCUUAUGAUUUGGGCUACACACGUGCUACAAUGGACAAUACAAAGGGCAGCUAAACCGCGAGGUCAAGCAAAUCCCAUAAAGUUGUUCUCAGUUCGGAUUGUAGUCUGCAACUCGACUACAUGAAGCUGGAAUCGCUAGUAAUCGUAGAUCAGCAUGCUACGGUGAAUACGUUCCCGGGUCUUGUACACACCGCCCGUCACACCACGAGAGUUUGUAACACCCGAAGCCG
rnacentral:rRNA from 1 species